ACACGUAGGGGCCUGACGUUGUUCGGAAUCAUUGGGCGUAAAGGGCGCGCAGGCGGCCGUCCAAGUCCGGUGUUAAAUGGUCGGGCUCAACCCGAUCAUGCGCUGGAAACUGGGCGGCUUGAGUCCCGUAGGGGAUGCCGGAAUUCCAGGUGUAGGGGUGAAAUCUGUAGAUAUCUGGAAGAACACCGAUGGCGAAGGCAGGCAUCUGGCCGGAGACUGACGCUGAGGCGCGAAGGCGCGGGGAGCGAACAGGUUUAGAUACCCUGGUAGUCCGCGCAGUAAACGAUGCGCACCAGGCGUCGGGCGGCAGCGCCCGGUACCGGAGCUAACGCGAUGAGUGCGCCGCCUGGGGAGUAUGCCCGCAAGGGUGAAACUCAAAGGAAUUGACGGGG
rnacentral:rRNA from 1 species